UUCAAGUGGUUGUGCUGCAAUGUCCUUAGUCCAGACGUAAAUAUCCGAAAAAUGCUGGGCUCAAGUGCUUCCCAAGAGAAAUAUGACUUUAUUAGUUCAAUUUCGAACUAGCCCUCGCAUAAGACAGUCCACGUUAUUUCUAUGAUAGUGAUGAAACAUGGAAUCAAGAGUGCGAACAAGUUCCCAACAAUUGUCAAUGCUGCUUGAGGAUAUGGCAAAUCAUGGUGACCCGGCGAGGCCUCUUGCUGCAUCACUAGGUUGGGUACGGUCAGACCGACUGUGGAUUGAACUGACAAACAUAUUGAAUGCUGUUGGUGGUGGUGGCAGCAAGACUACAGACAAGUGAUAAAAAGCGUGGUCCGCGGUUGAGAUCGCCAGCGACACCGCAGUCUGCUGUUUCUCCCGACCACCCUCGUUUGAGCGACCCCCUUCGAGACAGCGGCAAGCGAGUAGCUAAAAAGCUAAGAGCACACAGCACCUGAAAAUUAUAAUAAUACAGAUUUA